UACAGAGGGGGCAAGCGUUGUUCGGAAUUACUGGGCGUAAAGGGCGCGUAGGCGGCCUGCUAAGUCGAACGUGAAAUCCCUCGGCUUAACCGGGGAACUGCGUCUGAUACUGGAUGGCUUGAGUUUGGGAGAGGGAUGCGGAAUUCCAGGUGUAGCGGUGAAAUGCGUAGAUAUCUGGAGGAACACCGGUGGCGAAGGCGGCAUCCUGGACCAACACUGACGCUGAGGAGCGAAAGCCAGGGGAGCAAACGGG
rnacentral:rRNA from 1 species